GGAUGCUCUUCCUAGAAAAUUUGCCUCAGAUUGCAGCCUCCAACAUUUUCAGAGCCUGCAAGGAUUUGACUGCCUGAUUUGCAAAGAAAUGGCUCCCCUCAAGCUAAAGGCAGGAAUCUUUGAAGCCCACAGUCCAGCAAACCCAACAGCAGAUCUCCUUGACAACCACUAAGAGGGAUCCCCCCCCCCUUUCUUGGGCACAGACUAAAAGAAAACUUUUUGUAUGUGCCUUUUUCCCCCUUUCCCUUCAGGCUCAUCUAACCCUUAGUUCUGCCUUUUCCACUCCCUUCAGGUCAUUACCAUUAAUACCAGCCACUAGAUUUCCAUAACGUUUGAACAGAGCUAAAAGGACUCCCCUCCCUUUUCUUGGGUAUUUUAAUUUCCUGCAGUGUCAAGUGACAAUGUUGUUGUUGAUGAUGAUGACCAUUUUAGCAAGGACAUAUCAAAUUGGCUAGAUUACUGAACUAUUGAUAAAAUGUAGCUCUUUUUAUAAAAAAAAAUACAGAGGAGGGGAUUCAGAGGGUCGCUUCUUGUUAAGUGCAGAUAAUAAUCAUGUCAGAGUGGGCUACGUGUGAAUUUUCCAACAGUACGAAAAGAAUCCUGCUCCUUCCUUAAUGGCUUUCUUUAGUUCAUUUUUCUUAGAUAUUAUGAGUAGCGUAGGAAGGUGAGCUCGUGUGCUGCCAAGCUUUCUUCCAUAUAACUAUAUAACCAGUGUUUCUAAAAGCUUAGUAUUGAAUGAAGAAACUGUAGAUAGAAGUUUCCUCAACCUGCUUUUAUAUUAGUUCCUUUAUGCAGAAUACUUCCUACAGCAAUAGAUUUCCAUUUGAAACAGUUAGGAGUGAGAAGAGAGACAAAAUAAAUUAUAACAUGUAAAACACUAAUUGCAGAUAAAAGAGUUAAAUUCCACUCCAACACAUUAUACAUGGUGCAACAGGAGCUCCAACAUGCGGACAUAUCAGAAGAAGAAGAAAUGAUUCGGUAUUUUUAAAGUCCUUGUUAAUUCUUAAUUAUAAAAAUCUAGAAAUCCAAUCUGUGAUAUAUAAUUUAUUAUUAUUAUUAGGAAUUAGUUUUGAAUUCUUAUUCUUCAUCUGUUGUGUUCAUUCAGUUUAUUUGUUUGUUUGCAUAUGCCAUUUUAUACUGCCCCCUUUAGCCCCAAAGGCUCUCAGAGUGGCUUAUAAAAAUCAGUGUUAAGAGAGCCGCUGCCCUCAGGUUUACAAAUGAGGAAGGCACAAGGAAAGGACUUCUCAAAUGUCUGCACCUCUCUCUCUCUCUGGAUCUUGUUAUUUCUUUAAGGCUUUUCUUUUCUCUGCUCUCCUGUACAUUUGUGGAGAAAGGCAUGAAGAAGUUGUGAGUUUCUUGCUGAGCUUUCUCUCUGCAAAUGUCCCUGGGGAAGCUUACCUGGUACCUUAGAGCUCCAUCUAGUGAACUUCAAUACAUUUUAAGCAGAAAUUUCAUUCUUUAAAAGAUGGACAUGCUAGAACUACCAUUUAACAGACAGCCAUGGCAAACAUUCUGGAUACAAAAAUCCUCCUAUUAAAAACAAUCAAUCACAUUAAAAGCAAACCAUUCAAAUAACAAUGUGUAACAAGCAGUUAAAGAAACGAGGCAGUGGCAAAAGUAAUCGUUUGUUAAAAACCUGCCAAAACAAAUAGAUUUUUUUAAAAAAAUAUAUUUUUAUUGGCUUGUACAUAUAUUUUCCAAAUAAAACAUAGCAUCUCUCAUCUGAUACUACAUUUUGGCUAUAAGCCAUCAACCACGUCUAGUGAUUUUCGGCCUUCAUCUGUUAGUCUUGCAUUUCCUUAUCUUAACUAUUACUUUUAAUAAUCCAUACUUUAAAAUCCAUUCUCCUAAAAAUUUUCCUGUAAUAUUUAAUAUAGUUCUCCUUACAAAACUUCUUGUAAUCCUACAAGCGUAGUCAGCUGAUUACAAUUGUUUUUCAAAUAACCCGCAAAUUUACUCCAAUCCUUCAAGAAUUUUCGGUCCCGCUGGUUUCGAAUUCUUCCUGUCAUCUUAUCCAAUUAUGCAUAGUCCAUUAAUUUCAUCUGCCACUCCUCUUUCGUCGGCAAUUCUUCAUGCUUCCAUUUCUGUGCCAAUAAAACUCUUGCUGCCAUUGUCGCAUAUAAAAACAGAUUUUUAUCUUGCCUAUUAAUGUUUCUGGCUUUUUAAUAAAUGUAUAUUUCAACAUCUUUUUCAUCUCAUUGUAAAUCAUUUCCCAGAAACCUUUCACCUUUUUGCAUUCCCAACACAGAUGAUAAAAGUACCUUCUUUUUCUUUACAUUUCCAACAUUUGUUACUUAUUUUAUACAUUUUAGCUAAUUUCACUGGUGUAAUAUACCAUCUGUACAUCAUUUUCAUCAUAUUUCUUUCAAGGCAUGCAGUAAAUUUUAUUUCUUCUUUGCACAAUUUCUCCCAGUCUUUUAACUGUAUAUUAUAACCAAAAUCCUUGGCCCAAUGUAUCAUAACCGACUUAACCUCUUCGUCUUUCAAAAGCCAUUCCAUCAGCAACAAAACGAAUAGAUUUUAAAUUGCCAUCUAAAGCCAAUUUCCAAAUGCAGAUGGAAGAGUAUUCCAAAGCUGGGCCGCCAUCACUGAAAAGGUCCCGUUCCUUGUGCUUAUCCACUGGAAACCUUGCAAUGGCACUAUCUGAAGCUGGGUGGUUCUGUAUAGGAGCAAGAGGCCUUUGAGGGCUUUAUAGGUCAGUACCAGCGCUUUGGUACCAGCCAACCUAGCAGUUCGAAAGCAUGUCAAAGUGUAAGUAGAUAAAUAGGUACCACUCCGGCGGGAAGGUAAACAGCGUUUCCAUGUGCUGCUCUGGUUCGCCAGAAGCAGCUUAGUCAUGCUGGCCACGUGACCCGGAAGCUGUACGCCGGCUCUCUCGACCAAUAAAGCGAGAUGAGCGCACAACCCCAGAGUCGGUCACGACUGGACCUAAUGGUCAGGGGUCCCUUUACCUUUACCAGCACUUUAGAUUGAUCCCAGAAACAAAUAGGUAAUCAAUGCUUAUGCGGGGUUUGUGUUUCCCUCUAAAAGAGGGACAGUGGUGUCUUUUACAGAUAUAUACAACCUGACCCUAUGGCGGAGAGGUUCCCAGAUUUAACACCCCAAAAGCGUCUGCUUCUCCCAUAGCCCCAGCCUUGGAUUCCAACAGAAAUUAGGCAUGAAGUCUCGCAGCUGCGCAGCCUUCAACCUGCAGCUUGCCACACAAAUUCCCAACUCUGGCCUUUCUAACUACCUGCAAAUUAGACUACUACCUGGCACAGAGCCACUUCCUUUGUUUCCUUCAUGGCCCAUACCUAGAGGGCCAUUGCAUCACCAAGAAGCUAGCCUGGCUGCUCCAGGAAUUGAGGAUCCAUGCUGGAUCCAGGAAUUAGGAGGCGGCUCAGGUAUGCAGCCUACUCCCGCAAACACACAACAGACAUUAUAUACACCAGUCUGUGACGGCUCAACAAAAAUCUGCCCCCAAUAUUUCAGAGCAAUUUAACUUUGCCAUACUCUUUUUAUUAAGCCACCAGGAACCAAGUAGGAAAGUAAGAAGGCAUGCUGCGCCUGAGCAGCCACAAACAAAUGCUUCUACAAUUCUCCACCCACCCACCCAACGCCAACCGAUAACUUCACAAUCCUGAGGCUUUGAAGAGAGGUAUAUUUGAAAGAGCUGAAUAUAGCAAUUGUCCAGAAACAACUAAGUACCUCCGCCCAGCUUUCUAACGUUAACUACCCUAUAAUUUCCCAAAUAUCAGACUUCUAAAGUUGGACAUUUGUCUUUGGGGAAGGAGUGUGGGGAAGAGAACAGCUACCAUGGAAGAGUUCCUCUCCACUCUUUUUCUUGCUGCCACGAUUUUGGGGUUCCUCCUUUGCCCUCCAUCACUCCUUGCCCUCUCCCUUACUACUGAGGGUCUCCAACACAAUACCUUUCAAGUCUGAAACUAUCCCAGCCAAACUGCCAUGACCUUCCAACACUGGAAGCCCCUCAAAAGCUGCUGAAGUUUCUUUCUCCCUAACAGGAGAUCCCAUAUGUAGGGUCACUGAACCAGCUCUGCUUAUAAACCGGCUGCAUUUGGCUCUCCCCCUCCCCCAGCUUUUUCCAUUCAAGUUCAAGAACUUUACAACCUUAAGAACUUGUGCCUGAGUUUGCUCUUCCCUCCUCACCUCUUUUUCCUUUUGUGUCGUGCGCUUUAGGUUGUAAGCCAGCAGGCAUGCACUUGCCUUGUGGUUAUUGAUCUUUGGUGAGCCUUUUUGGCUGAAGAGUGGAGUCAUAAGCAAGUCCUGAGUUGGGUUUCUUUGAAUGAAAAAGCACCGGAGACACAGAGCAUUUAAAAAGCUUGCUUUAUUUACAAAUGUACAAGCAGAGCAUAAUGGAGACAGAAAGCCAAUGUUGCAAGGAAGGAGUUUUGCCAGAAAAUUGCCUAAUAGAGGAAUGACUGGGCAGCUGCUGCAGCCCUAUGAAGCUGCUAUAUGUGGAGUGUGACCCUUGGUGUAUGUGUUGCAUCAACAAUGCAGCCCCAGGUUGCAUCAACAAAAGUAUAGGUCUUAGUAGACUACAAGCUUAACACGAGUCAACAGUGUGAUGCAGCAGC